rnacentral:rRNA from 1 species
UACAGAGGGUGCGAGCGUUUGUUCGGAAUUAUUGGGCGUAAAGGGCGCGUAGGCGGUGCGGUAAGUCACCUGUGAAAUCUCCUGGCUCAACUGGGAGCUUGCAGGCGAAACUGCCGUGCUGGAGUGUGGGAGAGGUGCGUGGAAUUCCCGGUGUAGCGGUGAAAUUCGUAGAUAUCGGGAGGAACACCAGUGGCGAAGGCGGCGAUCUGGGAAGUUACUGACGCUGAGGUGCGAAAGCGUGGGGAGCAAACAGG